ensembl:lncRNA
GCUGUAGAGGGUAAAAGGGGUGUGUUAUUCCAUUUUGCCGCUGAAGCUUGACAGUGCUGACACUCUUUCACUGAUCAGGAUAGCGUCUGAUCCUCUGCGGGACUGAGCGACCCACAUCACACUGCUCAGGAGUCAAACUGUGGACUAGCAGAUCUCUAAACACUCAACACGCUCCAACACCGAACUCUAAAACACUGCGGCUGAACUCCUCAACAUGGGUGAGUGAGAAACUUCCAGCAUCCGAAUCCAAUCUUUCAUACAAACACUGACAAAGUUUAGUCAACUCUGUUACUCUGGAUUCAACACCGUUUGUGUGUUCAGUGGAGGUGUUUAACCUCCAAAUUCAACAUGUGUACUGUGUUGAUUCAACACUUGGGAUUGUUCCACGUGCCGUCUUUAGCAUCUCAACGCUGUAGGAGUGAGUGUAGUACUCCGAUUGUUCCACUUUGUUUAUAACAGUUGUGGGUGUUAAUUCGACACCUUAUUUCAAAAGUAUUUGUUAAGUGAAGGUGUUUAACCAACAUUUAUCGAUUCAGCACUCGCGGUUGUGCUGUUUUCCUCAGCACCUCAACGCUGUAGCAGUGAUCGUUGUACUUUUGUUCGAUGUGUUGUGAGUGUUUAUAACAGCUGGCGGUGUUGAUUUAACAUGCACACUAAACACUGUAUAUGUUCAGUAAAGGUCUUUAACCUCUCAGCAUUUUAAUCCAGAAUUCGAAGGUGCCGUAUUUAUCUCCUUAACGCUAUAGGAGUGAAGGUUGUACAUUAAACGGUUGACUUUGUGAGCGUUUAGGACGGCCGUGCGGGUCCGAUUCAUCUCGCUAAUUCAACACUGGAUGUGUUCAGUGAAGGUGUUCAAACACCGGCAGAGUUAAUAUCAGGUAAGGUGUUCAUUUAACACUUAGGGUCAAUAAUUCAGGUCUGUAGGUGUUUAUUCAACGCUGUGGAUUUCACUGUGUGCUGACUUUGUUACCUCAACACUUUAAAGUGCACCUGUUAUGGUCUUUCAAAUCUUACCUUUCAUGUAGUGUGUUAUAUACGUAGCUGUUUGUGAAUGUAAAAAGUCUGCAAAGUUUCAAAAAUCAAAGCUCACGACAAACGGAGUUAUCGACUCCCAAAAGAAGGAACCGAUUCUGAACAGCUGAAUCGAGUCGUUAGUGAUUCCAGACUUUACUUCCUGUACUAACCUACGUAGGUUCGUAACAAAAAAGCCCCACCUCUGGUCUUCAUCACCUGCUCGCUGACAGACGGAGCUGAAACUCGUUACGGUAGUGGGCGUUUCCUUUUCGACACACGCUGACAGCGGUAGACCAAUCACGACAGACCGG